UGGGGAAUAUUGGGCAAUGGGCGCAAGCCUGACCCAGCAACGCCGCGUGAAGGAAGAAGGCUUUCGGGUUGUAAACUUCUUUUCUUGGGGACGAAGCAAGUGACGGUACCCAAGGAAUAAGCCACGGCUAACUACGUGCCAGCAGCCGCGGUAAUACGUAGGUGGCAAGCGUUAUCCGGAUUUAUUGGGUGUAAAGGGCGUGUAGGCGGGACUGCAAGUCAGAUGUGAAAACUAUGGGCUCAACUCAUAGCCUGCAUUUGAAACUGUAGUUCUUGAGUGCUGGAGAGGCAAUCGGAAUUCCGUGUGUAGCGGUGAAAUGCGUAGAUAUCACGAAGAACUCCGAUUGCGAAGGCAGCCUGCUAAGCUGCAACUGACAUUGAGGCUCGAAAGUGUGGGUAUCAAACAGGAUUAGAUACCC
rnacentral:rRNA from 1 species